rnacentral:rRNA from 1 species
UAAUCGCAGAUCAGAAUGCUGCGGUGAAUACGUUCCCGGGUCUUGUACACACCGCCCGUCACACCAUGGGAGUUGGAAAUGCCCGAAGUCGGUGACCUAACCGAAAGGGAGGAGCCGCCGAAGGCAGGUCUGAUAACUGGGGGUGAAGUCGUAACAAGGUAAC